UUCCCAAAACACAAAAUGACAAUCGGCUUUCUCCCUUCUCUCCUUCACCUCUCUCUUUCACACACCCAAAAUUGAAGAACUUUAAACCUUGCCCUGUCGUGGCUCAGUCGCUAGGGCCGAGAAUCUCCUAUUGUACAUCGUCCAGCUGGUGAAACCAAAACAAUCAGCAAAAAUAGAUCCAAAAUGGUGCUACGGCCCAUCAAUGGCUUUGAAACAUAAUAUUUGGAGGAGAUUUUUUUAUUUGAUAUUCAAAUUUCAUCCUUCCUCUUUCACAUUUUCCAUUUUAAGUUUUCAAAUCCGGAUUUUCAAGUUUGGAUUUGCACCUAUAAAUGGAGUUAUCGCUAUUUCCGUGAGGGGCAGGUUGAUAAAUUGGAGUGAGUGCAAGAUAAAGAGCAAAAAUUUGAAGGGUUUAGGUUCGCAGAAGGCAGACAGAGGUCUAAAGGAGUAGGAGAGGUUAAAAUGAAAAAAACCUAGAGAACAAGGUCUAGAAGUGGAAAAUAAAGUUUGUUUGAAGACAAAAGGAAGACAAAAAAGGGGGAAAAUAGAGUAAAAUAAGAGUGAAAAUAAGGUUGAAAGUGUGAAAAACUAGUGAAAAAUGGUUGGGAAAUUGAAAAAAAGAGUAAUUGUGAAGAUUCAGGAGAAGGAAGACGUUAGCGAAUACUCUUGAAAAUCCAUCAUCUAUGUUACAAAUUUUUUAUCUUUCUUCUCCAAUUUUGAUCUAAGUUUAAGUUUUCGGGUUUGAGUCCAUCGCAGGAAAAUACUUUGACGUCGGAGCCCUCGUUUGCUGCUCAUAACAAGUUAGAGUUCCAAUAGAACUCUCUUUGAUCCAAAUAUCGGGUCAACCGCUACUAGGAUCCCAGGGUCUUGGAGUCGUGAAAAAAUAGAAGCUCGAGCUCCAUUAGGAGCCUGUUGACGAAAUCUGGUAGAUCGAAAGAGAUUAGGUCGAAGUUUCGCAACGACGAAGUGAAGAUGAAGGCCUUCUCCAAAGGAGCAAAAAACUAAAAAACGGUACGAGGAGAAAAGGAAAUCUAAAGAAAUUAAAGACGAUGUGGACAAAUCUUAUGAUGAAUAUGAAGAAGAAAGUGAGAAAGAGAUCUGGCUAGAAGUUUGGACAACCGGCUGAAAGUUGGGGGCAAAUUUAUCUGAUUCAGGGAAUGUCACUGGCUAUUCAAGUGUGGCUAUAUAAGUGUUGUUCAAAUAUCCCACCAAAGAUUGCAUUGAAGGUUGAGAAUUGGAUUCCUCGAUUAUUAAAUUGGAAGACGAUUGCACCUCGUCUACGGUAUGAGUUUUUGAUGAAUGCUAUGUUCAAGGACAAUGACAAGGUUGUAUUUAAGAACAUAGUGCCAACUGAAAUGGAACUGGCAAAGUUUGAAAUACCACAGAAGAAUGUAACUGAAGAUGAACGUUCAGUUGAUUCUGACGAUGACUUCCAGGAUCCACCACCAAAGAAGAUCAACAAACGUUCAAAGAAGAAACAGAAGAUGGAUUCAUCAAUCCUAGUAGCGAAGAAACCUUCAGGGAAAAAGCAAGUCAAUAUUGUUGACGCGCAUACCCAAACAAGGACUCCACCUCAUCGUGCUGCCAAGGCUGCUGUAAUGAAGACACCAGUAUUCAAGCCAAUUCCAACACAACAGGCUUCUUCUUCAAAAAAGAAGGAAGGAAAGCAAACAACUAGGAUUAUUUUUCCUCAGGUACAGUCAAAGGCAGAUAGUCAUGUAGCAGAAGUUGCUCUGUCAAAGCAUGAGAGACAUGUUAAGAAAGAAACAUUUAUUUCCAAGAAAGUUUUUGAUGCAUUCCGCGAAGAGGUUCGUCAAGAGUUUAAAGAAGUUCGUGAAGAGUUUACUCGAAUUCGUCAAUUAGUAAAGAAAAAGUUUAAAAAAAUGGUCAAAGUAAUUGAACAUGGCAAGCAACAACGUGAAGAUACAGAGGUUGAAGCACAACAGAUGGAUUAUGCUGGCGUCGAAACAUCACCACAACAAUUCAGUCCUACUGUUGAUCAGAAUUUGGAUGAGAAUCAGGAUGGUACAAAGGAGUGUACUGAUUUGCAUCCAGAUAAAACAAACAUUGAAAUUGAUUCUCAACAUUUAAUCCCUGAUGAGCUUCUCCAAAGUAUAAAUUUGGAUUAUAAUCUUUCUGAGAAGAUUGUUCAUCACGAUGAUCGAAUCACUGAUGAGAAAUUGGAUGAUACAAAAUUGUCUGAUUCGCAGUUUACAAUCCCAGAUGAGUUGUUACCAAGUCUUAAUGCAUACUAAAGAGAAAGCAUCACGGCACAUCCAUUGGCAACUUCUGAAGAAGAACAAAUUGAUGAACAUUUUAAUGAUAAAAAGUUCGAAUCUGUUGUUCAAGAUCAUUGUCAGGAAAACAAAGAGAACGUUGGAUCGAGCUUUAAAGCAGAUAUACAUGGAGAGGUUGAUCUUGGUACGAAGGAGUAGAUUGUGACAACUCUUAAAAUAUAAGAAUUAACCACUGAUGAACAAAGGGAUGAAACAGUUUUGCCUGAUUCACAAGACACAAUCCCUGAUGACUUGCUUCCUAGUUUGAAUGUAUACAGUAGUAAAAGCAUCAUUGUUCAUCCCUCUGCUAAUCGUGAACUUCAAACUCCUAUUCCUAAGUUAAGGAUUAGGCGAUCAUCCAAAUUCAAAGAGUCACCUUACACGAUGAAAUUUGGCUCAGCUGUCGAGAGCUCGGAAGGACACAUACAUAUAUUCCCACAGAAACAUCCAUUUGUUUAUCAGCCGAUUGAUGGAAUUGUGGAUACGAAGAUUGUCAACAAGUUCAUGGAUUGAAUUUCUGAAGACCUUCUCAAAGUUCAUGCUAAAAGCAUAUUGAUGUUUGCUUCUACUACUUGAGGAAGAAGUCGAAGUAUGACCCCAACAGGUCUUACAAAUUCAGCACGGUAGAUUGCAACUUUAUGAAUAUAAUUAGAUCUGUUCAUGAUGUUUAUUCUACGGAUGCUGAAAAUCUUACUGCGGGAGGACAUGUGGCACAUCUUAAUGAAUACAUAAAUGGAUUCCGUAUGCAUACUGUUGUGCCAUGGCAUACAGUGGAAGACAUUUAUAUUCCAGUAAAUAUAAAGGAAAAAUAUCAUUGGGUGCUAGCAAUUUUAUCUUUCUCAGAGAGGUGCAUAUUCCUAUAUGAUUUAUAUGAAUCAUCUGGUCAUUAUUCGACUGUUCUUGAUGUCAUUGAGAAAUUAGUUGCGAUUAUCCUAUUGUGUCUCGAACAUUGUGAUUUCUACGUUAAGAAAGGAAUUCAUCUUGAAAAUCAUCCAAGAUACAAAGACAAAGACUCCUCAGAUAUAUUUGAUGUGUUAUUUCAAGAGAGUUUGCCUCAACAACCGAGCGGAAGCUUGUAAGUUAUUUAAUUUACAUAUAACAAAAUUGUAUGUUUGUAAAAUAUAUAUUAAAGGACAUAUGCGUUCCUUUUUA